AUACGGAGGAUCCGAGCGUUAUCCGGAUUUAUUGGGUUUAAAGGGUGCGCAGGCGGCCAUUUAAGUCAGCUGUGAAAGUUUGGGGCUCAACCUUAAAAUUGCAGUUGAUACUGGUUUCCUUGAGUACGGUAUAGGUGGGCGGAAUUCGUGGUGUAGCGGUGAAAUGCUUAGAUAUCACGAAGAACUCCGAUCGCGAAGGCAGCUCACCGGGCCGGAACUGACACUGAUGCUCGAAAGUGCGGGUAUCAAACAGGAUUAGAUACCCUGGUAGUCCGCACAGUAAACGAUGAAUACUCGCUGUUUGCGAUACACAGUAAGCGGCCAAGCGAAAGCGUUAAGUAUUCCACCUGGGGAGUACGCCGGCAACGGUGAAACUCAAAGGAAUUGACGGGG
rnacentral:rRNA from 1 species